AACGCACGAGACCUGCGGACCUGCGGAGGGAUCAUUACAUGGCGGAGGAGGUGGGCACCUAGUAAAAACAAAACCCUAGGUGUGUUGCCUACCACGCUUUCUACCCUUGUCUAUUUGCACCUUUUGUCGUUCCCUCGGUGGGUCUUGAACCUGCCGGCGGCAACUUUCAAAAACCUUUUGUAGUUAGUAUCUAAUUCUUCUGAUCAAAUAUUCAAUCGUUACAACUUUCAGCAACGGAUC
rnacentral:misc_RNA from 1 species